GGGCCUAUAAUUACAAGGGUUUUUAUAAAAGGGAAGAAGGUCAGAGUCAGAGGAGAGGAGACAAGUGGCCAUUGCUGACUCUGAAAUUGGUAGGGGCCACAAGCCAAGAAUGCGGGCAGCCUCUAGAAGCUGGAAAAGGCAAGCACACAGACGCUUCCCUGGAGACUCCAGAAGGGGCCAUUCUUGCAGACUGAUGCCUUGACUGUAGUAGGAGACCCACUACAGACUCUGGCUUCGAGAAUCUUAAGAUGGGGGAGCUGGAGCACAGUAAGGUUAAUGUGCUCAAGGUCACGUAGCCGGUGAGAGGCAGUGCAGGGAUUCAAACCUGCCUGUGUUUCCUUGCAGAGCCCAGGUUCUCGGAAGCACACCGUCCUCCAUCUGAUACAGAACAUUUCAGUAAAUUACAGGAUGACACACGGCAGCCUCGCUGCAGGCAUUGCCGUAAAAUAGACAAUUCGUGGCUUUCUCGUAUGCCUGUUCUCAGCUGAGGAUCCCAGGGAAUUGGUGCCAUUUCCGGAGUAAAAGAGCUUCGCGGUCUCCAUUGGGAGGAGAGGGCCCCCAUUUUCGAUGUGUUUCUGUCAUGCUCAUCCCCUUUGGGGGGCCAUUAAGGAAGCAAACUUGGAGUAUCAGGACUGGAGGUAGUGGUUACUGGCGCUGGCAGUGGCCCCAGGACAUGAGAACUCAUGAAAUCAAGAUCAUGGUUCUGCCUCCCCAUAAAACGGCAAUAUAUGGAGAUCCAGGGAAGAAAACAUCCUGUUCAGGGAGCUCUGGGAGCAGAUCGAUUGGCAAUAAGAUCCAUGAUUCUCAGGGCCCUCCAGGGAACAGGGACAGGACCGGGAAGUAGGGUUCAUGGGCAUCUGUGUACCAUGCACUCUGCUAGACCAUUCGUAGAUAGAAAUGUUGUGAUUUUAACCACUAAGCUAGGACAUAGCAGCCAUCAUUUCUAUUUUACUCUGAAGUUAACAGGCUCAAAACUUGACAUGAUGCCACAUGGUUAACAAACCUUGUAAAGUCUGGAGCUGAGAUCUGAACCCACAUGACCCUAACUUGCAUACCUAUCCCCUCUCCAAUCUGAUCCUCAGUGAAGGAAAUAGCUAUCCCCAUCUUUUGGUUUUGAGGUGCCUCAAAAGGAUUCUUGCCUCCCUGCUUGAUUCUCAAAUUGUCACUAUCUCUGAGGAUCUCCUCACUGUUAUCCAGGACAUGAGGAGGGCAGGGUCCCCGGGCAGCCCCUGGCAGCAGGGAGAGGUGGGACCCACGAGGGAGGUACAGGGGUUAGGGAGUGGACACUGGAUCCCAGGCCCAUGUCCAGCUCCCUGAGGGGGUCGAACACUGGAAACCAAGGGGCCUGAGGUCAAGGAACCUCCAGAGAGUGGAAGGGAGAGCACUGAGGAUGUGUCUGUGCAGCUGCACAACCUUCUCUCAGGCUGAAGGGAUUUCUCCUCAAAACUCCUUGCAGCAAUUUGCCAUCUUCCUCCACACUACCUUUCCAAAGCAUGAUUUAUGUCUGAGGAGAAAGCCGAUUCGUGAAGUACUGUGUGAUCACCUGCCCCUCUCCAGGAGACCCAGGGGCGUCGCCGGCCUCUUCAGCAGGGAAGCUUCCUGAGAAGUGAGAUGCUCCACUUAAUGGACUGCUCAAAGCAGAACCACAGGACCUCGAGAGAGAUUGUCCACACUGGCUGACGCCACCUUGCUUUUUGUUCCAGGAAGGUCCCAAGACAGACCAAAAAUAAGCAGAUCAAAACCAGAAACGAUUAAGAUCUCUCCUCAUCUGUGUGAGAACUCUGGAGUUACCUUAAAUGCCUACAUAUUUGGGUGGUCUUGGGUGUGAGAGCGGUGUCUGUGAGCCUCGGUGCAGCCAUGUCACCCACUGCUGUGAGAACGUGCCACCCGCCAGACUGCCAGCCACAGGCCAAUGGUAGCUGUCACAGAGGAAAAUGACUUCACUCAAAAUGUUCAACUCUUUCACUUCGGUUUCUGUUUAAGAUGUGCUGUGGACGGUUCUGUGGUUUGGCCUGGCCAUGUUAUCCUCUGACGCACCGUGAAGAGAACAAGCAAAUAGGCUUUUGGGGGAAGGCCGCCCAGGAAUGAGGGUCAAUGUUUCAAGCGGGUAAUCCCUUCGACUCAACAUUGCCCCUUCCAGGAGCUUAUCUGAAGGGGGAAAAAUACAAGCAGCAUAAAGCUAUCCACUGAUACUGCAGAUCAAGUUCACUCGUUUUAACUGCUCCGUUGUCUGCCAUCUUAAAAUGGGCCAUAAUUGCUCCAUUUUCUUGUUCAUGCAUUUAGGCUGUUUCCCACUUUUCCUAGAUACAAAC